rnacentral:misc_RNA from 1 species
AACCUCACACUCUAGAGUUUUCUCUAGAGACGUGGAUUUGGGUGUUGCAAUUUGCUCACCUUGAAUGACUUAGUGGUUCCUACCGUAGCCUGAUGUAAUAAGUUUCAUCUGGUCAAGGGAAGACUGCUUCUAAUCGCCUUACGGCACUAUUUAAG